GUUUUUAUUUUUCUAAUUUCUAUUUGUGUGAGUUAACAAGAUUAUUUCUACUAUAAUGAUUGUGUCCAAAUGUUUAAAUUAGUGUUCGUGCCAAGUAAAGCCUUUGGGGUGAUUUGAGUGAUAAGUAGAAUUGAUACGGUGCAAAAACAAAAACUUUUACGUCGAGUGCAGAAUUUCUAUGAUUUUACUGGAAUGUAUUUUUU
rnacentral:lncRNA from 1 species